UACGUAGGGUGCGAGCGUUAAUCGGAUUUACUGGGCGUAAAGCGUGCGCAGGCGGCCCGUUAAGACAGGUGUGAAAUCCCUGGGCUCAACCUAGGAAUUGCGCUUGUGACUGGCGGGCUCGAGUACGGUAGAGGGGGGUGGAAUUCCUGGUGUAGCAGUGAAAUGCGUAGAGAUCAGGAGGAACACCGAUGGCGAAGGCAGCCCCCUGGACAAAGACUGACGCUCAUGCACGAAAGCGUGGGGAGCAAACAGU
rnacentral:rRNA from 1 species